rnacentral:rRNA from 1 species
UGAAAUUCGCCUUCAUGAAGCUGGAAUUGCUAGUAAUGGCAGGUCAGCAUACUGCCGUGAAUACGUUCCCGGGCCUUGUACACACCGCCCGUCACACCAUGAGAGUUGGAAAUACCCGAAGCCUGUGAGCUAACUUAAAGAGGCAGCAGUCGAAGGUAGAGCCAAUGAUUGGGGUGAAGUCGUAACAAGGUAUC